AUAUAUAUAUAUAUAUAUAUAUAUAUAUAUAUAUAGCACCGAGGGGCAGGCCAUGCUAGAUUGCUCGGCCUGCAGUGAAUAUACUCCGGAGAUUGGGCUGGGCCUAAACACUAUCUAAAGAAAAGAAGUUGAGAAAGAUGGUCGCCUGCUGAUGAUGGGAGAUGCGCACUGCUUCGUAUCAAAAUGAAGUACUUCUUGAAGCUGUUGGUUUCACGAGCUUCCGAUACAGGCCGGGGGUAUUUCCCAGUACUUUGUUCCUUUCAAGCGCAAAUAGGGAAAUGGUCACGAGCUCUGCAGCUAAACAAAGUUCAGAACCUUUUUUUUUGUGAAAGGAAAGUUCAGAACCUUUCUAUCAGCAACUCCACAAAGAAAAGGGCUGGCAUGCUCUUCCAAGUUCCAAGCCUAGCAAAAAUCACAAAAAGGUAUAGAACCUGUACUGCUAGAGAAUCCAUGAUGAGCUGAGCUCAGUGCUGCUGCCUAAUGGACGGAUAGUACAGCAGACAUGUUGCAGACGCGAUGGAGAAAGAGACAUUCAUGCGAGUGCUGUGGAUCCUGGAAAGGGUGCCAAAAGGAGGCGGGCGUGAUCCACAAAUCCCAAUAAAAGCAUAGCAGUUGGAGUGAGGUCAUGCAAAAGUGACCGAUCCUUGUCCUCUUCGAUCAAGAGCACCUGUCGACCUCAAUGAUGCCAUGUCAUCUGUUCGUUUACAGUGGCCGCAGCAUCUUGAUACAAGUUUAGGGACCAUGGAUAGGUUGUGAUGAUUCCCCCUCCUCCGUUGCAAAAGAUCGCAGAAGACGUUGGUGAUUUUGGGGACAUUUCGACCGGAUUCAGGACACCAGGGCAGCCCUGGCGAAGGGAAUCUCUCCCCGUCUCUAAAGCAAAUCAGUGCUGUGCUGAUCGAUGGAUGGUACUCGGGGCGGUGACGUGAUACCCGGCCUAUCCAAAGCUCUCUGACAUCAGUGAUGUAAUUGUGCUCCAAUGUCCGGAUGCAAUUAUCCAUCACAGCAAGUAUAUAUAUUAUGUGAGGUGCCCAUGGCUCGACCCGACGAUGGUGUUGGGUUGAAUCUGGUUCAUGGCUCUGCCGGGUGGCCAAGACGCAGCUGAUGCAUCCAUGGUUCCAGAUUGUUAGGAGUUCCGGAGCAGCCGCAUGACCUUGAGACGUGCAGGACGCUAGGACAUCAUCAUCAUCUUUAAGUGUAUGUUGAACAACGGCAAUUACUACUACUUGACAAUGGGUUUCCCCACAAUGGCCUUCUGGGCGAGACAUGCGGCGAUGUGCCCUCAGUGGUGGUGGAUACAAUUUGCACUGAGUGGAGUUCCGAAAAACUUGGACAAUUCUUUCGAGUUCUGAGUGGACUUUUCUUUGUUUGUACUACUUGACUGAAACUUUUGUGAAAUGUUAGUCUUGAAACCUAGUCUUGAAAUUUUGAGCUCAGUCUUGAAACUUCAGCUCUGGAAACACUGUAUCUGUAUUUGAAACCUCAC